rnacentral:rRNA from 1 species
GACGAACGCUGGCGGCGUGCUUAACACAUGCAAGUCGAACGGAAAGGCCCUGCUUUUGUGGGGUGCUCGAGUGGCGAACGGGUGAGUAACACGUGAGUAACCUGCCCUUGACUUUGGGAUAACUUCAGGAAACUGGGGCUAAUACCGGAUAGGAGCUCCUGCUGCAUGGUGGGGGUUGGAAAGUUUCGGCGGUUGGGGAUGGACUCGCGGCUUAUCAGCUUGUUGGUGGGGUAGUGGCUUACCAAGGCUUUGACGGGUAGCCGGCCUGAGAGGGUGACCGGCCACAUUGGGACUGAGAUACGGCCCAGACUCCUACGGGAGGCAGCAGUGGGGAAUAUGGCACAAUGGGCGGAAGCCUGAUGCAGCAACGCCGCGUGCGGGAUGACGGCCUUCGGGUUGUAAACCGCUUUCGCCUGUGACGAAGCGUGAGUGACGGUAAUGGGUAAAGAAGCACCGGCUAACUACGUG